AGCUGACAUGGCCAUGGAGUGAUGCUGUGGUCCCCAGAGAAACUCACAAGUUCAAUGCCUGCUAAUUUGCUUGGCUACCAGAGAGCAUUCAUUGUGCAGUAGUUGCAGGAGGUCAGUGCAGUGCGUCGCCCAGGCUCUGCCCAUGGGAGCUGCUGCCUUCUCUGUCCCAGUUACAGAGUGCCUGUCAAGUAACGUAGGAGUACCCAGGUAAUCAAAUAGGCACAGGUCUCAACAGAACCUAAAAGUCUUCAUUUGGAGCUCCACCGUGAACUCUGGAGAGGUGAAACUAACUGUGUGAAGUCAUUUUUAUUAUUUAACAGAAUUGAACUACUCCGUAAUUAGUAAUUAUCUUCUUUAUAUGCUUUCCAUAUCAAGAUUUCAAAGGUCUUGGGAAAAUGUAAACUGAAUCUUAAAAACAGAAAUUUAUAUUUAAGAUCUUGAGUUUUCAUUUAGCUUCCUGGACAGAAAGCUGCUCCUGUGUGAUAUUCUGAACGCAGGAAGCUGACUUCUGCAUACCAGCCUGCUUCACUGUACGGCAUCUACUUUAGAAGACAGUCUUCAAG
rnacentral:lncRNA from 1 species